rnacentral:lncRNA from 1 species
UUAACGAGUUAAGUUUAAGCUUAGUUGUUGGAAUGAGGUGGAAAGAUAUCUUUACGUGACAUCUACAAAACCUUUUAAUAUUUGUUUUAUUAUGUAUAUGUGGCAAUAUUUUAAACAAUAAAAAUAUUUUUUAUUGUAUAUCCUUCAUUGCGUCCAAUUUUCUUCUUCCUCUGCAUCUCCACCAUUGCUACUACUGCUUGCCGCGCCUCCCCCACCGCUGUUCGUCGCCUCCAACAGUGGAGGGUUUGAGAGAGAGAGGAAGGUUAUUGGAUUUGGCUCCAACGGGCUUGCCCGUUGGCAUUAGAUCUUCAUCGUCUUCAAAGAGUGCUCCUGAAGCUGAAAGGUGGGGGUAUUGUUUCUUGAAAUAUCCUGUUUUCUCUUAAAUUGAUUGAUUAAAUGCCGCUUGCAAGCAAAUACCCUGUUUUCUCUUAAAUUGAUUGGUCUUUGUUUUAGGGCAUGGGUGUGAUUGUUCUGUUUUCCAAUUUUUUUUUUUUUUAUUUUUUUUUAUCUUGGGUUGUUAGAACUUGACCGUGUGUGUUGUGGUGGCAGUGGGAAAAAUUGAAGGUGAGGUUGGAUAUUCCGACGAUGUACAAGAAGAUUGCUUGGAGAGAUGAAGGCAAUAUCGCAAGCCACCGUCAGUGCCUUGCCACCUCUACAGCAGAGCGAAACGCGCCACCACCCAAAGCCUCUUCUUCACGCCGCAAGCAGCGUCAUCCAAACCUCCACCACGAGUUCUCCCCUCAUCCAGAAAAGCAAUCAGCAACGAACAAUUGCACCUCUGCCACGACACAUAAGGGAUCCAGUGUCCCCAUAAACGCAAUCAGCAAUGAACAACCGCAAAUCAUGUUUUCUCCUUAGCGGUUCUUAAUCUGCAAACCUAGAAAAUCAACACAGUUCAUCCCAAAAUCAGAAAGAGAAACCCUAGAAUCGCGUGACCCCAAUUCGCGCCUUCACCUUCCCUAAAUCGUUAACUCCUACGCCUUCCACCUGCAUCAGAAAACAGAAACCACGAAGAAUCCUAAACACAAAACCCCAUUCGUAAAAAUCUCAAAUUGCAGAAACCCAGAACAAUGUGCCUUCUCCUUGCACCUCUUCGGACCAGAACAGUGUGCCUUAUUCCCAUAAAAAACUUAUUUUUUUAAAAAAAAUUCCAGGUAAUAAAAUAUUUUUACGUCAGCGUGAACCACGUGAUCACAAGUAAGGUGAAACUUAACUCCGUUAACUUCAUUUAACGGUAAGGGUCAAUUUCUUUCAAUUUUUCACUCUGAAGGACUUAAUUGGCAAAAAAAAUAAGUCAAGGACUAAAUUGAAAAAAAAACGCGAAAAUAGGAACCUCUGAAGUGGUUUAACCUAAGAAUUAUUAUGAACUUUUGAUACAUUAGUCUUACUUUCUCUUUUUUCUUUUGUCCUGCUCAAUCCAAACGGUGUGUUAAGUUUAUUUCGGAUUCACAUUCACUAUAUCAAGUUUUAAUUUAAAUUUUACAAGUUCUAUCUAUCCACAUAAUUUUAAAAUUAUUUUACAACUUUUAUUUCAAUGUAAAAGAUAGGUUUAAACCUCUUUUUGGUCCCUAAGUUAUAAGCGGAUGUUCAGUUUAGUCUCCGUUUUUAAAAAUGUAAAUCUUUAGUCUCUAAGUUAUAAAAAUUGUAUCAAAUGAGUCCUUUUUUGACUUGAAAUACUGUUUUUGGUUGUUUCUUAACAACUGCUACAUUUUUAGAUUGCUCUGAUUUGUUUCUUAAUAAUAACAGCAAUUUAGAUUGCUCUUUAUACUUUGACCAUGAACAUCAAAAAAGGACUCAUUUGAUACAUUUUUUAUAACUUAGGAACUAAAUGUUUACAUUUUUAAAAGCGGGGACUAAACUGAACAUCCACUCAUAACUUAGAGACCAAAAAGAAGUUUAAACCUAAAAGAUAUAUAAGAUGUAAAGAUUAAGAGUCUGGUUGAGAGAUAUUUUAAUUAAAAAUAUUUUACAUGGUUUAUAUUUAAACUUAUAUAUCUAGAUAUACACCUCUAUUUAUCAAAU